UAAAGGUAGUAUAAGUAGUAUAUUAGAAGAGUAUACGUAGUAUAAGGGUAUUUCUGGAAAAAAAAGAAAUGGCAUGGUAGUUAUAUGGUGUUAAUGUAUAUGUUCAAUGUUUAGUCUGGCCGAAUGUUAUAUGGUACCAGUCCGGCCCAUCCAUUCGACGGCGACUAGGGUUGCUUGAGGUCGGCCCAUCCACGGUGAGUUACGGCGACGGCGACUGGCGAUGGCAUCUCGAUUUGCGGGGGAAGGCGCGGCGCCAGUAGCCGCCUGGCGUCAGGAGCGGGUGAAGCCGGUGGCAGGAGAGGCGGAGGCGGUGAGGUUCCUCGAUUCGCGGUGAGGUUCCUCGAUUCGCGAUGGCGGCGGCUUGAUUCACGGCUGUGGCGGCUCGACCCGCGGCGGCGACGGCGCGGCGGCUCGAGGCUGCUCGAUUACCGGCGGCGGCGGCAGGUCGAUUCGCGGCGGCGGCGGCAGGUCGAUUCACGGCGGCGGCGUCGCGAUGGCGGCGGCUUGAUUCGAGGCUGCUGGAUUACCGGCGGCGGCAGCAGGUCGAUUCGCGGCGGCAGGUCGAUUCGCGGCGGCGGCGGCAGGUCGAUUCACGGCGGCGGCAACUCUAUUCGCGACAGUAGGUGCUCGACUCGCGGACACCGCACAUGUUUGCAAGACGCUGACGGGCUCCGACACCAGCACGCACGGCGGCUUCUCCGUGCCGCGUCGCGCCGUCGAGGACUGCUUCCCACCGCUGAACUACAGCCUGCAGAGGCUGUGUCAGGAGCUCGUUGCCGAAGAUUUGCACAGCACGGAGUGGAAGUUCCGACAAGAGAGUUUCUUCAUUAGUAUAUGAGCUGCACAUUAUCUUGUCUCCAUACAGGCAAGUUUGACUAUGGCACGUGAUCAUCAGAAAUGAUAACACAGUGUUCAUUUGAGGCUAAGUCAAAUGAACUCGUUAUACCCUAUUGGAAGUUCAUGAGAAGCUUGAACCAACCAUUUUCAGUUGGAAUGGGAUGCAGAAUGAGAUAUGAAAGUGAAGAUGCUUAUAAAAGAAGGUGCACUGGGAUAAUAAUUGGAAGCAGAGAGGCAGACCCCAUGUGGCAUGGUUCAAAAUGGGAAUGUUUUGUGGUAUGUUAUCUUCUAUCUUGAUUUGUACAUAAGACGAAUGGCAAUAUUAGCUUUCAGUUUUAGCAUUGUUUCUAUGAAUUAUUAAUGACAUGAUUGCACGUAGAGUUAAUGUCUGCGUCAAGUUGUACUAGGUUGACAUCCUUCCUUACAUGGUGGCUAUUCUAAAUCCUGAACUUACUGGAAGAAACAAAUACAUUACUAUAUUCACUCCUUGUGCUAAGCUUGAAAUAAUCGAUGUAAUUUCCGUUGUUCAUCUUUUUA